ACAAGCAUGCUCGAACUGAGUUCCUACACUGCACGUUCACAUUUUUUCGUAGCUUCUAUGGACGUUAGUUUUUAAAUUCUGAGUGAGUUGGUGCAGUGAGCAUCUAGCUAGAUUGCUGUUAACAGAACUAGAGUUAACUAGUGCUGCGUCCGUGUAAAACAAACAUGCAAGCAGUUUUUGUAAGGUAAUAUGUGGUUAUAUUAUGUAGUAAGUAUAAGCAUUUUAAAAUUCUAAACUUGUUCUUUGCCUUUUAGGUUGCUGGUCCAAGAAUGAUCUGGAACUAACAUCUACGGUCCUAUGAGGUGACAACUGCAAACACAAGCCUGUCGAUCCACCUGCAGUCUGGUCUGAAUGAUACAGUCCCUCUUCCAGCAUACAAGAUAGACGGCUCGCUGCUGCUAACCCUCAAACGGUUCAUUCAAGUGAGACAGAACUAAGUAGCACAAUGGCAGCUGCAUCCCCUGAACCAAUGAUUCUACGUGUUGUUGAGCCAGACCAGGCUAGAAAAUUAAAACUCAACUCACGACCAGCCUCUGUUGAUUCACUGAUCAAUAUUCUAAAAGAACAGCUGGACAUUGACCUUGACUUUGAUUUACUUUAUGAAGAUCCAGACUUCGAUGGAAAACUUACAUCCCUGAAAGACAUUGAGGAAUUGCCACAAAAAGCAGUUGUGCACAUUUCACUUUCACAAGACUCCAGUUCUAUUGCAUCUACUAUUCUGCUUUCAGAUGUGUCCUCUCCAGAGCGUCUCAGCA